GUAAAUGGCGCCCCCCUCUCUUUAUAACGCGCUCCCGGUAAUGACAGGACACAGCAGUGAGGAGGCGGCGUAUCCCCAUAGGAGCCACGGCUGUAAGGAGAGGUUGUGACUGCAAAACACACUGAAGAGACUGCAGCCGGCGCGCACCUCCUUGUACAGCUUACGGUGACAUCAUCACAAGCAUGUGUGACAUCACAGGGUUCUAAACCAUCUUCAGA